GACGAACGCUGGCGGCGUGCCUAAUACAUGCAAGUUGAGCGCUGAAGGUUGGUACUUGUACCAACUGGGUGAGCAGCGAACGGGUGAGUAACGCGUGGGGAAUCUGCCUUUGAGCGGGGGAAAACUUUGGAAACCAAUGGCUAAUACCGCAUAAAACUUUAAACCCCAGGUUUCAGUUUUGAAAGAGGAAUUUGCUCACUCAAAUAUAUUCCCCCGUUGUAUUUUCUAGUUUGUGAAGGAAAGGCCCACCCAGGCGAUGAUACAUAGCCCACCUGAGAGGGUGAUCGGCCACAUUGGGACUGAGACACGGGCCAAACUCCUACGGGAGGCAGCAGUAGGGAAUCUUCGGCAAUGGACGAAAGUCUGACCGAGCAAAGCCGCGUGAGGGAAGAAGGUUUUCGGAUCGGAAAACUCUGUUGGUAGAGAAGAACGUUGGUGAGAGUGGAAAGCGCAUCAAGUGACGGUAACUACCCAGAAAGGGACGGCUAACUACGUG
rnacentral:rRNA from 1 species